UGGAGCAUGUGGUUUAAUUCGAUGAUACGCGAGGAACCUUACCUGGGCUCAAAUGUAUGUUGACGUAUUCUGAAAGGGAUACUUCUUCGGACAAUAUACAAGGUGCUGCAUGGUUGUCGUCAGCUCGUGCCGUGAGGUGUCGGGUUAAGUCCCAUAACGAGCGCAACCCCUAUCAUUAGUUGCCAUCAGGUCAAGCUGGGGACUCUAAUGAAACUGCCUACGCAAGUAGUGAGGAAGGUGGGGAUGACGUCAAAUCAGCACGGCCCUUACGUCCAGGGCUACACACGUGCUACAAUGGCCGGUACAAAGGGCAGCUACCUGGUGACAGGAUGCUAAUCUCAAAAGCCGGUCUCAGUUCGGAUCGGAGUCUGCAACCCGACUCCGUGAAGUUGGAUUCGCUAGUAAUCGCGCAUCAGCCAUGGCGCGGUGAAUACGUUCCCGGGCCUU
rnacentral:rRNA from 1 species